UACGAAGGGGGCUAGCGUUGUUCGGAUUUACUGGGCGUAAAGCGCACGUAGGCGGAUCGUUAAGUUGGGGGUGAAAUCCCAGGGCUCAACCCUGGAACUGCCUUCAAUACUGGCGAUCUAGAGUCCGGAAGAGGUGAGUGGAACUCCUAGUGUAGAGGUGGAAUUCGUAGAUAUUCGCAAGAACACCAGUGGCGAAGGCAGGUCUCUGGGCCACUACUGACGCUGAGAAGCGAAAGCAUGGGGAGCGAACAGG
rnacentral:rRNA from 1 species